rnacentral:rRNA from 1 species
CUGUGAAAGCAGUGACAUCCCGACAAAGGGGCAUUACGUGCGCUGCACUUACACCCCCACGGCAAAGCUCUGAGAUAUAUAUAUAUCUCUCUCUCUCUCUGACGAUAAAGGUGUCUGGUACGGAAUAUGCGCACGCACGGUGAUCACUACAAAUACGUGUGUGAGUGUGUGCGCUUGUAUGGUUACGCUCAUAAGCGUUGUUGCUCUCUGGUAAAAGGAUAAAGCAUAAGAGAGAGAGAGAGAGACACACACAGAGUGUGGGUGAGCGUGAGUUUGCUCUCGCAUGAGCCCCCUGCGUCUGGUUCUAUGUCUGGCGAAAGGGAAUGGGGACUUUGUUCCUUGACCGGUCCCGGCACCCUCGAUUGGCUUUGCCAAUUAAUGGUCCAUGCAAAUGGAACCAGGCCACAGCC